GGGCCCCACGUGGACCCAGCCCCUCUGUCAGCCCACGUCCCCCAUGUGUGUCAUUCCCUUGACCCUCUCAGGACAGAGAAGGCUGGAUGUUGUGCUCACCUCCCAAGGGCUGUGGGCCUCUCACCAGCCUCAGGGUGCCCAGCUCACAUGCUUCUCAUCAAAAUUUCCUCCAUCCUUACCUGCCCUGCCCCAAUAGCAUGGCUCGUUCUGUUUCUUAAUGCAACCCAGAGUAUCUUCCAAAGGUGUGUGUGUGUGUGUGUGUGUGUGUGUGUGUGUGUGUGUGUGUGAGAGAGAGAGAGAGAGAGAGAGAGAGAGCACAUGAAGGCAGGAGGGGUGUGAUCGGCCCGCUCCUGUAUUCCUUCCCUCCAUUUACCAGGAUGUGAAGACAGGUAGGAGGCUUGAAGCUUCACCCUACGUUCAUGUCUCUGCUCUGAUCCUGACCCGCUGAGGUGGUACAACACUCUCUGUCCUCGGUCCCAACCUGGCCCCACCCUCCCCAUGUCUUCUGCUCGCAGGAGAGGGAUAUCCGCCCUGCCCUUCCUCCUGAGGCCCCUUCAAAGGGGACAGAAGAAUCUCUAACCCACAAGACCCUCUAUGCAGCCUCCAUCCCCAUAAGGCCACCAGUGAGGCAUUACAGACCAGCCAUGACCCGCCCCCAUUCUGCCCCUCUGAGAGGACAGGUGUGAGGAACAAGCGCCUCCAUAGACAAGGAGCCUUCGCAUUGCAUCAGACCAGGACUUCGCCAGAUGAGGGCACUGAGGCUUAGAGAGAUGGCAGACUUGCCCAGUGCCUUGCACUUGUGCGAAGGAGCUGGCAGCAAACCCAAGUGGUAGCUCCACACUCUGCUCCUUCGAUCAGACACCUGCCUGCCAAGACCUGCCCCUGGUCCCAGUUACACGGGGAAGUCCACCUUCAUGCUCAAAGCUUAGCUUCAUCAAGCUGACUCUCAGGCCACUUCUGUUAUGGCCACUAUUGUCUGACUCAGAGCAAGUGGCUAUCCUUACGUGGCAGGACAGGCUUAAGCACGUGUGCUGGCCUUGAGCCCUCAAAAUAUCAUUUUAUGUCUCAUGAUUUAUUAAAAACUCUAAAUCCGUCUGGUUUUGUUGUUGCCCUUAAUGCAUGGCAGGCACUAUCCCCAGUACUUUAUAGACAUCAUCUCUUUUAGUCUUCAAAAGAAGCCUAAGAAUAGAUCUUCUUAUAAUGACCAGAUGAGCGAGCUGGGGCCCAGAGAGUUUAAGAAACACGCCCAGAGUCACAUAGCUAGAACAGGAUUCAAACCUGAGUUUGUCUGACUAUAAACUGCCUUCCCUCUUAGGAGCAGAGAGAAAAGACUUUGUUGUAAUUGGAAAAUAUAUAACAGCAUCUUGUGUUCCCUGGAAUCACAGCUCUGGGCUUGCAAGCUGUCAGGA